CCUGUGUUAUGGACAUAAAAUCAAAAAGUUUUUUUGUUGGUCUGAAUUAAUUCGGUCCAACCAAAAAUAUAACAGUCUCAGACCGGUCUAGGAUUUCCAGACCGGAAGCCAACACUGGUGUUUACUCAAAGGCAUUAAUAUAAUACUAAUAUAAAAUGAAGACUUCGUCAUGUUUUUUACCUUAUUAUCACAGGAUCUUGUUCCUCACAUUUUGUAUGGUUUGAAAGUGAAUAAUGGCCUCUCUUUCUCAAUUUUUUCAAAAGAACUUCCUAUAUAUAUUGACGAAGUGAAUCAUAUAUGUUCAUUAAAGAGUCUGAGUCGUUAUUCUAAUAUAAAUAACAUUUUAUCAUAUUUAAACAAUAAACAGAUGGAACCCAAACUAGCUUUAAGCAUAAAGUAUGCCAUUGAUAUAUUGGAAGAAACAGUACGUCAUCAAGAUUUUAAUUCAAAAAAUCAUAUCAGCUUUAUUAUAAAUCAACUUCACCUUCACUCUCCCAGCUUUACAUAAUCAAAUUAGAGAAUCUGGAAUUAUUUACUUGCCAUCUGAAUCGCAUACAAGAAGAAUAACAAGCGCUUUCUCAAUU
rnacentral:lncRNA from 1 species